GAUGAACGCUGGCGGCGUGCUUAACACAUGCAAGUCGAACGGAAAGGCUCCUGCUUGCAGGGGUACUCGAGUGGCGAACGGGUGAGUAACACGUGGGUGAUCUGCCCUGCACUUCGGGAUAAGCCUGGGAAACUGGGUCUAAUACCGGAUAGGACGAUGGUUUGGAUGCCAUUGUGGAAAGUUUUUCGGUGUGGGAUGAGCUCGCGGCCUAUCAGCUUGUUGGUGGGGUAAUGGCCUACCAAGGCGUCGACGGGUAGCCGGCCUGAGAGGGUGUACGGCCACAUUGGGACUGAGAUACGGCCCAGACUCCUACGGGAGGCAGCAGGGGGGAAUAUUGCACAAUGGGCGCAAGCCUGAUGCAGCGACGCCGCGUGGGGGAUGACGGCCUUCGGGUUGUAAACUCCUUUCGCUAGGGACGAAGCGCAAGUGACGGUACCUGGAGAAGAAGCACCGGCUAACUACGUGC
rnacentral:rRNA from 1 species